rnacentral:rRNA from 1 species
CGCUGGCGGCGUGCUUAACACAUGCAAGUCGAACGGAAAGGCCCUGCUUUUGUGGGGUGCUCGAGUGGCGAACGGGUGAGUAACACGUGAGUAACCUGCCCUUGACUUUGGGAUAACUUCAGGAAACUGGGGCUAAUACCGGAUAGGAGCUCCUGCUGCAUGGUGGGGGUUGGAAAGUUUCGGCGGUUGGGGAUGGACUCGCGGCUUAUCAGCUUGUUGGUGGGGUAGUGGCUUACCAAGGCUUUGACGGGUAGCCGGCCUGAGAGGGUGACCGGCCACAUUGGGACUGAGAUACGGCCCAGACUCCUACGGGAGGCAGCAGUGGGGAAUAUUGCACAAUGGGCGGAAGCCUGAUGCAGCAACGCCGCGUGCGGGAUGACGGCCUUCGGGUUGUAAACCGCUUUCGCCUGUGACGAAGCGUGAGUGACGGUAAUGGGUAAAGAAGCACCGGCUAACUACGUGCCAGCAGCCGCGGUGAUACGUAGGGUGCGAGCGUUGUCCGGAUUUAUUGGGCGUAAAGGGCUCGUAGGUGGUUGAUCGCGUCGGAAGUGUAAUCUUGGGGCUUAACCCUGAGCGUGCUUUCGAUACGGGUUGACUUGAGGAAGGUAGGGGAGAAUGGAAUUCCUGGUGGAGCGGUGGAAUGCGCAGAUAUCAGGAGGAACACCAGUGGCGAAGGCGGUUCUCUGGGCCUUUCCUGACGCUGAGGAGCGAAAGCGUGGGGAGCGAACAGGCUUAGAUACCCUGGUAGUCCACGCUGUAAACGGUGGGUACUAGGUGUGGGGUCCAUUCCACGGGUUCCGUGCCGUAGCUAACGCUUUAAGUACCCCGCCUGGGGAGUACGGCCGCAAGGCUAAAACUCAAAGGAAUUGACGGGGCCCCGCACAAGCGGCGGAGCAUGCGGAUUAAUUCGAUGCAACGCGUAGAACCUUACCUGGGUUUGACAUGGAUCGGGAGUGCUCAGAGAUGGGUGUGCCUCUUUUGGGGUCGGUUCACAGGUGGUGCAUGGCUGUCGUCAGCUCGUGUCGUGAGAUGUUGGGUUAAGUCCCGCAACGAGCGCAACCCUUGUUCACUGUUGCCAGCACGUUAUGGUGGGGACUCAGUGGAGACCGCCGGGGUCGACUCGGAGGAAGGUGGGGAUGACGUCAAGUCAUCAUGCCCCUUAUGUCCAGGGCUUCACGCAUGCUACAAUGGCUGGUACAGAGAGUGGCGAGCCUGUGAGGGUGAGCGAAUCUCGGAAAGCCGGUCUCAGUUCGGAUUGGGGUCUGCAACUCGACCUCAUGAAGUCGGAGUCGCUAGUAAUCGCAGACCAGCAACGCUGCGGUGAAUACGUUCCCGGGGCUUGUACACACCGCCCGUCAAGUCAUGAAAGUUGGUAACACCCGAAGCCGGUGGCCUAACCGUUGUGGGGGGGCCGUCGAAGGUGGGACUGG